UUCUAUUCUCCAUCACUCCUCCUCUCUUCACUGUAGCCACAGGUAUUUCCUGAGUAGAUCCCCAGCCCCCUGCACUUCUAUUCUCCAUCACUCCUCCUCUCUUCACUGUAGCCACAGGUAUUUCCUGAGUAGAUCCCCAGCACCCUGCCUCUGUCCCUGUCCACUCCUCCUCUCUUCACUGUAGCCACAGGUAUUUCCUGAGUAGAUCCCCAGCCCCCUGCCUCUGUCCCUGUCCACUCCUCCUCUCUUCACUGUAGCCACAGGUAUUUCCUGAGAAGAUCCCCAGCCCCCUGCCUCUGUCCCUGUCCACUCCUCCUCUCUUCACUGUAGCCACAGGUAUUUCCUGAGUAGAUCCCCAGCCCCCUGCCUCUGUCCCUGUCCACUCCUCCUCUCUUCACUGUAUCCACAGGUAUUUCCUGAGAAGAUCCCCA
ensembl:lncRNA